CUACGAUCCUGGUUUCGAUAGGGUGGAGCCUUUUCUAGAUAUUACAAGUGUGUACAGCUAUCUACAACACAAGCAAUCUUCAGGAAGAAAGGUACCAAGACAAAGCAAGAGCUUGGCAACCAUUUGCCAAGAAGUGCUGGGUGUUUCACUUUCAAAGGAACUUCAAUGCAGUGAUUGGUCGCACCGUCCUCUUAGCGAGG